rnacentral:rRNA from 1 species
GAUGAACGCUGGCGGCGUGCCUAAUACAUGCAAGUAGAACGCUGAAGGAGGAGCUUGCUCUUCUGGAUGAGUUGCGAACGGGUGAGUAACGCGUAGGUAACCUGCCUGGUAGCGGGGGAUAACUAUUGGAAACGAUAGCUAAUACCGCAUGACAACAGUUAUUGCAUGAUAACUGUUUAAAAGGGGCAACUGCUCCACUACCAGAUGGACCUGCGUUGUAUUAGCUAGUUGGUGAGGUAACGGCUCACCAAGGCGACGAUACAUAGCCGACCUGAGAGGGUGAUCGGCCACACUGGGACUGAGGCACGGCCCAGACUCCUACGGGAGGCAGCAGUAGGGAAUCUUCGGCAAUGGACGGAAGUCUGACCGAGCAACGCCGCGUGAGUGAAGAAGGUUUUCGGAUCGUAAAGCUCUGUUGUAAGAGAAGAACGAGUGUGAGAGUGGAAAGUUCACACUGUGACGGUAUCUUACCAGAAAGGGACGGCUAACUACGUG